GACAGAGGCCUCGAGCGUUAUUCGGAAUCACUGGGCUUAAAGCGCGUGUAGGCGGGACGGCACGUCUGUCGCUGAAAUCCCCCGGCUUAACCGGGGAACUGGCGUAGAUACGACCGUCCUGGAGGGGCGUAGGGGGACCUGGAACUUCCGGUGGAGCGGUGAAAUGCGUUGAGAUCGGAAGGAACGCCCGUGGCGAAAGCGAGGUCCUGGACGCCUACUGACGCUGAGACGCGAAAGCCAGGGGAGCGAACGGG
rnacentral:rRNA from 1 species